rnacentral:rRNA from 1 species
CACGUAGGCGGGUCGUUAAGUCAGAGGUGAAAGCCUGGAGCUCAACUCCAGAACUGCUUUGAAAACUGUUAAUCUAGAAUGUGGGAGAGGUAGAUGGAAUUUCUGGUGUAGGGUAAAAUCCGUAGAGAUCAGAAGGAAUACCGAUUGCGAAGGCGAUCUACUGGAACAUUAUUGACGCUGAGAUGCGAAAGCGUGGGGAGCAAACA